rnacentral:hammerhead_ribozyme from 1 species
AUACAGGUGAUGAAUUCCAAACAGAACGAAAUGCGCAUCCUGGAU